UACGUAGGGGGCUAGCGUUGCUCGGAAUCACUGGGCGUAAAGCGCACGUAGGCGGAUUCUUAAGUCAGGGGUGAAAUCCUGGAGCUCAACUCCAGAACUGCCUUUGAUACUGGGAAUCUCGAGUCCGGGAGAGGUGAGUGGAACUGCGAGUGUAGAGGUGAAAUUCGUAGAUAUUCGCAAGAACACCAGUGGCGAAGGCGGCUCACUGGCCCGGUACUGACGCUGAUGUGCGAAAGCGUGGGGAGCAAACAGG
rnacentral:rRNA from 1 species